AGCGAACGCUGGCGGCAUGCUUAACACAUGCAAGUCGAACGGGCACUUCGGUUCUAGUGGCAGACGGGUGAGUAACACGUGGGAACGUACCUUUCGGUUCGGAAUAAUCCAGGGAAACUUGGACUAAUACCGGAUACGCCCUUCGGGGGAAAGAUUCAUCGCCUAUAGAUCGGCCCGCGUCGGAUUAGCUAGUUGGUGAGGUAAUGGCUCACCAAGGCGACGAUCAGUAGCUGGUCUGAGAGGAUGAUCAGCCACAUUGGGACUGAGACACGGCCCAAACUCCUACGGGAGGCAGCAGUGGGGAAUAUUGGACAAUGGGCGCAAGCCUGAUCCAGCAAUGCCGCGUGAGUGAUGAAGGCCUUAGGGUUGUAAAGCUCUUUUGUCCGGGAAGAUAAUGACUGUACCGGAAGAAUAAGCUCCGGCUAACUUCGUG
rnacentral:rRNA from 1 species